rnacentral:rRNA from 1 species
AUAAGUUAUGUAAGGGCGUAUGGGGGAUGCCUAGGCUCUCAGAGGCGAAGAAGGACGUGAUAAGCUGCGAAAAGUUGCGGGAAUUGGCACAUACGAGAUGAUCCGCAAAUAUCCGAAUGGGGCAACCCAGUAUACUGAAGGUAUACUACAUCGCAAGAUGAGCAAACCCGCUGAACUGAAACAUCUAAGUAGGCGGAGGAGAAGAAAACAAAAGUGAUUCCCAGAGUAGUGGCGAGCGAAAUGGGAGGAGCCCAAACCUGUAUUGUUUCGGCAAUGCAGGGGUUGUAGGACUGCGACAUUUGCUGUUUAUCGAAUUAGAACACCUUGGAAAAGUGUGACCAUAGAGGGUGAUAGUCCCGUAUAGGUAAGAUAAAUAAGUGAUAGCAGUAUCCUGAGUAGGGCGGGGCACGUGGAACCCUGUCUGAAACUGCCAGGACCAUCUGGUAAGGCUAAAUACUCCUGAGAGACCGAUAGUGGACUAGUACCGUGAGGGAAAGGUGAAAAGCACCGUGAAUAACGGAGUGAAAGAGACCCUGAAACCAUACGCUUACAAGCGGUCGGAGCGGAUAUAUCCGUGACGGCGUGCCUUUUGCAUAAUGAGCCUACGAGUUACUGUUACUGGCAAGGAUAAGCACUUAAGGUGCGCAUUCGAAGCGAAAGCGAGUCUGAAUAGGGCGGUUAAGUCAGUAGGAGUAGACGCGAAACCUGGUGAUCUACCCUUGGGCAGGUUGAAGCACUGGUAACACAGUGUGGAGGACCGAACUGGUUGUCGUUGAAAAGACUUCGGAUGACCUGAGGGUAGGGGUGAAAGGCCAAUCAAACUGGGAAAUAGCUCGUACUCCCCGAAAUGCAUUUAGGUGCAGCGUUGUAAUAAAGUUUAAUAGAGGUAGAGCUACUGAUUGGAUGCGGGGGUUUCACCGCCUACCAAUUCCUGACAAACUCCGAAUGCUAUUAAAUGUUUUACAGCAGUGAGGGCUUGGGUGCUAAGGUCCAAGUCCGAGAGGGAAAGAACCCGGACCAUCAGCUAAGGUCCCCAAAUAUAUGCUAAGUUGACCAAACGCGGUCUGACUGCACUGACAGCUAGGAUGUUGGCUUGGAAGCAGCCAUACAUUUAAAGAGUGCGUAACAGCUCACUAGUCGAGCGGUUCGGCAUGGAGAAUAAACGGGCAUAAGCAUAUUACCGAAGCUAUGGGGUAGAGAUACCGGUAGGGGAGCAUUCUAUAGGCGUUGAAGCUAAAGGCGUGAGCCAUAGUGGAGCUUGAUAGAAAAGAAAAUGUAGGCAUAAGUAACGAUAAGGCAGGCGAGAAACCUGCCCGCCGAAAGAUCAAGGUUUCCUCAGCUAUGCUAAUCAGCUGAGGGUUAGUCGGGGACUAACGCGUACCCUUUUAGGGGAAGUGGAUGUACAACUGGUUAAUAUUCCAGUACUAGUAUUUCAAUAAAAGUGACGGAAUGAGAUAUACGCUGCGCACAGACGGAGUUGCGUUGAAGGAGCUGUUAUGGCUUUGAUAGUACACUUAGGCUACGGUCGAGGUGAUAGCGUAGACAACGUUUCCAAGAAAAGCGAGAGAUACUACCCGUACCGUAAACCGACACAGGUGAUUGGGAAGAGAAUUCUAAGGCGCUCGAGAGAUUCAUGGCUAAGGAACUAGGCAAAAUAGACCUGUAACUUCGGGAGAAAGGUCGCCUAUAGCGAUAUAGGCCGCAGUGAAAAGGUCCAAGCGACUGUUUAUCAAAAACACAGGACUCUGCAAAAUCGAAAGAUGAGGUAUAGGGUCUGACACCUGCCCGGUGCUGGAAGGUUAAGAGGAGGGCUUAGCGUAAGCGAAGGUCUGAAUUGAAGCCCCAGUAAACGGCGGCCGUAACUAUAACGGUCCUAAGGUAGCGAAAUUCCUUGUCGGGUAAG